rnacentral:snRNA from 1 species
AGCUUUGCGCAGUGGCAGUAUCGUAGCCAAUGAGGUUUAUCCGAGGCACAAUUAUUGCUAAUUGUAAACAAAAUGUCCAGAACAG